CCGCUUCCCUGGAGCUAGCUGGGAGCCAGACUCGUGGCCAGCUAGGCUGGCUGGGUGUUGGAAAAACAGAAAGCACAUAAAUUAUUUCAGCAGUCGGGUACGGGAUUGGUUGAGCAGAUCUUGGAGGACUGAAAAGGCAGAAGGGAACGCUGAGGUGAGCAGAGAUGGGACCUGCUUCCUGUGGCCACGGGAAGAGCAGGAGGACAGUGGACGAUCACAGCCCAGAAGCUCGGACGGAGGAGGGCGCUGGGGGCAGGGAUGCUGUGGCCCAGCUGGUGCUGGUGACUUGGAAGCUUGGAAAGGGGCCCUCAGGGAGCUGGGACUCAGAACUUGAGAUCUCUGGGGAGGGGCUGAGGAUUACUCUGGCCCACAAGUGCCCCUGGCCUGCCUGCUGACCCCAACACACGCAGGGACUGGAGCACGGUACCAACAGAAGCCAAGGACCACGUGUCUACACACAUGAAGCUGGAGAUUGAGCCCACAAACUCCUAAUAAAGCAAACUCUGUCCUUCCACCUGGGCAAGUGUACCUUCCCGACGAGGGGAAGACCAAGUCCAAAUUUAGAAUUCUUGGGGUGCUUGGAGGCUGUGCCAGAAGGUGAUGGCAUGGAGGGGCAGACCCUAAGCCACAGCCUACCCCCCUUUACCUUUCCACCCGGGUUCCAUCUGAAACUGUAGGGACACCUGCCAGGCCCCUGGAGACCUUUGUGUUUGCAGCCCCCUGGGGGUUGACGACAGCAGUGGGCAUGGAAUCAGGGAAACUGGAUUUUUAACAUGUAUCUCUUGGUUUCUCCCCGAUUUGGACUUUGUUCUAUAUGCAUGUGUGUAUGUCUGCAUGUGAGUAUGUGUGCACGUAUG
rnacentral:lncRNA from 1 species